rnacentral:tRNA from 1 species
GCCUUAGUGGUGCAGUGGUCAGCACACUCGGCGUGUAUUCGAGAGGUCCAUGGUUCGAGUCCCGGCGAGGGUA